UAAAUGUCAGGCGAGCAGCUUUGAGGGAGGUGUGUCUUGUCUUUCAGGCCGAAAACGAAACCUAACCUCGGCGUGUGCGACUUUAAUCCCUGGAAAAGCUUCGGUAACACGAAACGCGAGUGUUGCAGUGACCCUCAGGCAUGGCGGUGCAAAUAUCAACUCUAUAUUCAUAUGUCAGAGCCCUCCCUGUGACCGCCGGCCCCCUGUGCCGUGUGCGGGCUGACUUCCAGAGAGCCAGUGUCAGGUUCAAUCUCACUGUCGCCACUGGACGCUCCCACCUGGGGGGACAGCCAGCAACAGGUCCCCUCCGCGGCCAUAUUAAGAAGUUGUCAACAUCACAAGCAACAACAGCAGAAGCUAUUCAGAAGUCCAGUCAGGGGAACGGUGCCUCCUCACGACGGUGGAGGAGAGGCUGGCUGCUGGGUAAGGUGACCCUCGGUGCGGUCAUCGGAGUGAGCUCAGCCGCCCUAGUCCAGUCUCUCCACACCGGGACCGUGGCCGCCAUGGCCCGUAAAGUUAACCUGACCUCCGCUGAUGGAAACUGGAAGGACACCAAGGACUUCCUGCUGUCUCUGUCAGUCAAGGACAGGCGUCAGUACUACAGGACAACCGACUUUGUGCCACUGGACGACAUUCCAGUGUGGACUCCCUCUGCAGAUGGUCCUAAGCCAGGCCUCUACCCAAGAAAUGAAAAGUUGGAUCAGAAGAUUUCCCUCUACACUGGCGACAUCACCAAGCUGGAGAUUGAUGCUAUUGUUAAUGCAGCCAACAACACCCUGCUUGGUGGAGGUGGAGUGGAUGGAGCGAUCCAUCGCGCUGCAGGUCCCGUGCUAAAAAAGGAGUGCGCUUCCCUCCACGGGUGUGAGACUGGAGAGGCCAAGAUCACCUGCGGCUACGGUCUGCCAGCAAAGUAUGUGAUCCACACUGUGGGGCCAAUUGCUCAGGGAGGAGUUGGAGAGGAGCAGCGGAAAGCUCUGAGGUCCUGCUACGACAACAGCCUGAAAACAGCCACGGAAAAUUCUGCACGAUCUGUGGCUUUCCCCUGCAUCUCCACUGGAAUCUAUGGAUAUCCACCUGAAAAGGCUGUGCAUGAGGCGUUGGCAACUGUGAGGGAGUAUCUAGACGAACAUCAUGACAAGCUGGACAGAGUCAUCUUCUGUGUGUUCUUGCCCACGGAUAAGGAGCUGUACAUGCAGAAUCUCCCGCUCUACUUCCCUGCUGCCUGACCAGUGACAGCAGCUUAUUGUUCAGCCUGUGAAACUCAACACGUGAAAGCCCUUUGAAAUCAGCACUUUCACAUCUCCACACUGGGUCAGCUGAAUAAGCAGCGGUUGUUCUCCAAAGCCUCCCCAGAAUCCACUGUCAGGAGUAAACUCUGAGAGUGGAUCUGUCAGAUUGUGUUGCCGUGGCUACACUCUUGUCUCAGCAUCCAGACUCUUCCUCCUCCUCCUCCCCCUCCUCUUCGCUGUUGACGUGUAUCCAGACCUUCUUCAGGUGGAAGAUGUGAUUGCUUUUUCUUUCCUCCUGAAGGUUAAGGUUGUUUUGUUUUGAGGCGCACACACUGGUGCUUCCGCAGAUGUCGAUUACGCUCUCUGUUUUCUCCCACUAAUGGUUUCAGGUUGUGAAAGUUUUCAAAGUGUGCAAUGACAGCGACGGUGUCUCUUUCCGCACAAGUUCCCGUCGUCAGAAAGGAUUUCAUCUCACCGUCGUUAUUAGCGUCUACAACAUUUGUGGGUUCUAGUGUUGAAUCUGAGCCACAGUGUGUGAGAUUCCACUGUGUGCGCAUGUGUGUGAGACAAUGAUCAAAGCUUAUUAAAGGGAAUCGCACAGGC